rnacentral:rRNA from 1 species
UACGAAGGGGGCUAGCGUUGUUCGGAAUCACUGGGCGUAAAGCGCACGCAGGCGGAUUGAUAAGUCAGGGGUGAAAUCCCGGAGCUCAACUUCGGAAUUGCCUUUGAUACUGUCUGUCUUCGAGUUCGGGAGAGGUUGGCGGAAUUCCUAGUGUAGAGGUGAAAUUCGUAGAUAUUAGGAAGAACACCAGUGGCGAAGGCGGCCAACUGGCCCGAUACUGACGCUCAUGUGCGAAGGCGUGGGGAGCAAACAGG